UAUUAGUUAAGGUCUUUAAAAUUUAAAGAAUUUGGCGGUAAAUUAAUUUUAUUAGAGGAAUUUGUUAUGUAAAUGAUAAUACGCAAUUUAUCUUUCUUUAAUUAUUUAAAAAAUUUUAAUUUAUAUAUCGUUGUUUAGAAUAUUUUUAUAGGAUUAAUUUUCUUAGAUUUAUUUAAUUGAAAAUCAGAUCAAGAUGUAGUUUAUAUUAAAGAAAUAAAUGAAUUACAUUUUUGUAAAAAAAUUACGAAUAAUAAUAUUGUAAUAUUUUUUUGAAGGCGGAUUUAAAAGUAAUAAUUUAUUAAAAUGAUUUUAUGAAUGUAUAUAUAAGUUUCUAAUUUAU
rnacentral:rRNA from 1 species